GCGUAUAUGGCGAAGUGGUUAACGCACUGGGUUGUGGUUCCAGCAUACGAGGGUUCAAUUCCCUUUAUACGCCCCA
rnacentral:tRNA from 1 species